GAAAGGCUUGCACAAUUUCCCGCGGCGGGACGUGGGUCGCCGGGCCCGCCCGGCGCCAGAUUAGGAGUGGGGCUAGAGAAGGGGCGAGGACGCGAGGUGUGGCGUCCUGGGGUCUGGGGAUGUGAGGCCAGGGCCUCCGAGGUGAACUGGUCCUGCCCUUUCGACCCCGUGUGUGCCCUCCCUCAGGCCAAGUUUGAGCUGAUCACCUCCGAGGCCUCCUACAUCCACAGCCUGUCGGUGGCUGUGGGCCACUUCUUAGGCUCUGCCGAGCUGAGCGAGUGUCUGGGGGCGCAGGACAAGCAGUGGCUGUUUUCCAAACUGCCCGAGGUCAAGAGCACCAGCGAGAGGUUCCUGCAGGACCUGGAGCAGCGGCUGGAGGCAGAUGUGCUGCGCUUCAGCGUGUGCGACGUGGUGCUGGACCACUGCCCGGCCUUCCGCAGAGUCUACCUGCCCUAUGUCACCAACCAGGCCUACCAGGAGCGCACCUACCAGCGCCUGCUGUAGGGCUGGGGGCUCUGAAAGGGGCGGGGGCGUGGAGGGAGUCUCAGGCAGGUGUAGGCACUGAGGGCUGGGUGACGUAAG
rnacentral:lncRNA from 1 species